AUUGAACGCUGGCGGCAGGCCUAACACAUGCACGUCGAACGCGUGGCGGACGGGUGAGUAAUGUCUGGGAAACUGCCUGAUGGAGGGGGAUAACUACUGGAAACGGUAGCUAAUACCGCAUACCAUCAGAUGUGCCCCGAUGGGAUUAGCUAGUAGGUGGGGUAACGGCUCACCUAGGCGACGAUCCCUAGCUGGUUUGAGAAGAUGACCAGCCAAACUGGAACUGAGACACGGUCCAGACUCCUACGGUAGGCAGAAGUGGGGAAUAUUGCACAAGGGGCGAAAGCCUGAUGCAGCCAUGCCGCGUGUAUGAAGAAGGCCUUCGGGUUGUAAAGUACUUUCAGCGGGGAGGCGUUACCCGCAGAAGAAGCGCCGGCUAACUACGUGCCAGCAGCCGCGGUAAUUC
rnacentral:rRNA from 1 species